rnacentral:misc_RNA from 3 species
CAACCCUCAAGCCUGGCUUGGUGUUAGGGCACUGCCUGUAAAAGGGCAGGCCCUCAAAUCUAGUGGCGAGCUCGCCAGGACCCCGAGCGUAGUAGUUAAACCCUCGCUUUGGAAGGCCCUGGCGGUGCCCUGCCGUUAAACCCCCAAUUCUUGAAA